UUUCUUCAGGUAUGUUCUAACUUUCCUGUUUAGAUUAGCAUUUAAAAAUUUAUUUAAUUACAAAAUUAAUUUUAUAGUUAUUUUCUAAAUAAUAUUAGCUUUCUAGUGAUAUGAUUAUUUUGUAGGAUAGAGUAAAUAUUUUGAUUAGGAUUUUUCUAUAGGAUAGUUAAUCUGAUGAUAUGAUGGAUUAAAAAUAUAGGUUAAAAUUCUUAGGGAUAUAAUAAAUAUUAUAGAAUAUUUUCUUGAGGUUGAAACUCAUGUUUAAGAAUUUUUGAGUUAAAAUCUAGAUCUAUAUGGUUGAAUUUAUGUGGAAUCUGAGACGUAGGGAUAAACCUAUGAUUAUUAAAUAUUUAUUUAAGUAUGAAUAGGUAUUUUUGAGGUUAUAGAAAGGUGAUUUGAGGCUUCAGGAUAAUUCUAAAAUUUUUAAUUUAUUUUUGGAUGAAUUUUUAGAAUGUAGAAGGAUGAAAUUGUGAUACUAGAAGUGAAUUGAGGAUAAAAAAAAAUAGUUCAUUAGGGUACGAGAAUUUUAGAAAAGAAUUUGGGAAGUUAAAUGAGGCAUAAAUCUUAAAUUAGUGUUAAUAUGGACUAUAGAUUUAAGACUUUCUAACUCUUUAAAUUAGAGUUAUUUAUUUUAAUGUAAAAUUAAUAUAUAGUAUUGUGAAAUAAUUAUGUAGAUUAUAUUGACAAAGAUAGUGGUGAAAAAGGAGUUGUGAAGGGGAACUUGUUAUUCAAGACACAAGGAGCGAGUCCGGCCGAGAAAGCACCAGAGGUGUAACUGUGGUGUAUGAGACACCAUCUUUUACGUUGCCUCUUAUUUUAGAUUAUACAAUGUAUCUUGUGCCAACUUAGGACAUAUCUUCUUUGUGAAGCAUGUAAACUCUAAUCCUUUUUAUUAAAAGUAUUUAUAUGACCAAGAGGAUUAUGUCUGUCCUUCUUGAUUUAUGAUCUGAUUUGAAUAACAUGCUAUGAGGAUCAUGUCUGUCCCUCAUGGUUCUAAUUGUUUUUUUUUUAGAUAUUUUAAGACCUGUGGUAUAUUGUCUUGGAUGUAUCGUGGUAGAAAUUUUUCUACCAUGAUAAGGGUUCAAUGAAAAAAAAAAUAAAAAAAAGGAUUUGUUGAAUUAAUAA